CAUUACAGAGGAGUUUAAAACUGGCUGUCCAUGGGAAUUCCUGUAGUUCUCAUAGCUAAAUCUAUAGUGGAAUUAGAAAGGUAAUUCCAGGCAUGGAAACUAAACCUCAACCCAUAAGUCUUCAAGGUAAAGUUUGCUAAGUAUGACAGAAAUGUUUGUGAUUAGGACAGAAGACAGGACACUGGCACCAUCACGAAAGUGGUCCUGCUUGAUAUCCGGAAAGAGUAUAGGUAUGAAGUCCAGAUGCUGUACUAAGGACAGAGAAAGGGUGUAGCGGAAUCACAGAUUGACCAACAGAGAAAGUAAGGUUUGAAUGUGAAAGAUGCGCUGAAGCAAUAAGUACAACGAGCACACUGGAAAUAGAUUCUCUUAAGUGGAGAAUAAGAAUACUCUCUCUCUCUCUCUCUCUCUCUCCCCACACAUGAUUUCUUUCAGAAGGUGAUUGUUAGGAUGCCAUUCAAAAUGCUUUGUUGCAUUUCUUUUGACUCUUUACAGUCUAAGUUCAAAUUCCACAGAUGUGUGAAGCUAUUAAUUACCAUUUCCAUUUUCCCCUCCCAUUUCCCUACAGAAAGUAUUGUUUCUUCAAUUAUUAACAUUCUAUCCUUGUAUUUUCCAGGUGUUUUGUAAAAUUGAAAAUGGCAAAUGGUAUGAUAAAUGCACAAAUUACUAUAAUCAAGCAACGAUUGAGAGUGUCCAAGAAGUUGUUGGAGAUGAAUUGAUAGUGAAAAUAACUUGUGAUGGAACUUCAAUGAUAACAAAAUUCAAAAAGCAAUCAAGAUGAACAAGAAAAUGAAGUUGGAAAAAAUUCACUUGUGAAUGUCAACAUAACAAUACUAAUACUAAUAGAAAUAAUAAUAAUAAUAAUAAUAAUAAUAAUAAUAAUAAUAAUAAUAAUAAUUAUAGGUAUUCUUAACUAGAAGGUUGUGUAAAUUAACCCAAAUAUUUUGCUGAUACAUAUUGUAAUAAUCCAAAAAACUGGACGACAAAAACACAUUUGGCUGGAUUUAAAUUGGAAAGAGAAUAAUUGAAUUAAAUACUGUAAAACUAUUUUGUUAGCUGUUCUGUUGAUUCUAACAGCAACAAUAACUAUUUUAAUAUUAACAUCAAGUCUUCUUAAAUAAAGAAAAACAAUUAAAUUGUUGAUUA